rnacentral:rRNA from 1 species
UACGAAGGGAGCUAGCGUUGUUUCGGAAUCACUGGGCGUAAAGCGCACGUAGGCGGAUGUGUCAGUCAGGGGUGAAAUCCCGGAGCUCAACUUCGGAACUGCCUCUGAUACAGCACGUCUUUUUUUUUUUUUUUUUUUUUGAGUCCGGAAGAGGUGGGUUGGAAAUUUCCUAGUGUAGAGGUGAAAUUUCGUAGAUAUUUAGGAAGAACACCAGUGGCGA